AGAGUUUGAUCCUGGCUCAGGACGAACGCUGGCGGCGUGCCUAAUACAUGCAAGUCGAGCGAACAGAAGGGAGCUUGCUCCCGGAUGUUAGCGGCGGACGGGUGAGUAACACGUGGGUAACCUGCCUGUAAGACUGGGAUAACUCCGGGAAACCGGAGCUAAUACCGGAUAGUUCCUUGAACCGCAUGGUUCAAGGAUGAAAGACGGUUUCGGCUGUCACUUACAGAUGGACCCGCGGCGCAUUAGCUAGUUGGUGGGGUAAUGGCUCACCAAGGCGACGAUGCGUAGCCGACCUGAGAGGGUGAUCGGCCACACUGGGACUGAGACACGGCCCAGACUCCUACGGGAGGCAGCAGUAGGGAAUCUUCCGCAAUGGACGAAAGUCUGACGGAGCAACGCCGCGUGAGUGAUGAAGGUUUUCGGAUCGUAAAGCUCUGUUGUUAGGGAAGAACAAGUGCGAGAGUAACUGCUCGCACCUUGACGGUACCUAACCAGAAAGCCACGGCUAACUACGUGCCAGCAGCCGCGGUAAUACGUAGGUGGCAAGCGUUGUCCGGAAUUAUUGGGCGUAAAGGGCUCGCAGGCGGUUUCUUAAGUCUGAUGUGAAAGCCCCCGGCUCAACCGGGGAGGGUCAUUGGAAACUGGGAAACUUGAGUGCAGAAGAGGAGAGUGGAAUUCCACGUGUAGCGGUGAAAUGCGUAGAGAUGUGGAGGAACACCAGUGGCGAAGGCGACUCUCUGGUCUGUAACUGACGCUGAGGAGCGAAAGCGUGGGGAGCGAACAGGAUUAGAUACCCUGGUAGUCCACGCCGUAAACGAUGAGUGCUAAGUGUUAGGGGGUUUCCGCCCCUUAGUGCUGCAGCUAACGCAUUAAGCACUCCGCCUGGGGAGUACGGUCGCAAGACUGAAACUCAAAGGAAUUGACGGGGGCCCGCACAAGCGGUGGAGCAUGUGGUUUAAUUCGAAGCAACGCGAAGAACCUUACCAGGUCUUGACAUCCUCUGACAACCCUAGAGAUAGGGCUUUCCCUUCGGGGACAGAGUGACAGGUGGUGCAUGGUUGUCGUCAGCUCGUGUCGUGAGAUGCUGGGUUAAGUCCCGCAACGAGCGCAACCCUUGAUCUUAGUUGCCAGCAUUCAGUUGGGCACUCUAAGGUGACUGCCGGUGACAAACCGGAGGAAGGUGGGGAUGACGUCAAAUCAUCAUGCCCCUUAUGACCUGGGCUACACACGUGCUACAAUGGACAGAACAAAGGGCUGCAAGACCGCAAGGUUUAGCCAAUCCCAUAAAUCUGUUCUCAGUUCGGAUCGCAGUCUGCAACUCGACUGCGUGAAGCUGGAAUCGCUAGUAAUCGCGGAUCAGCAUGCCGCGGUGAAUACGUUCCCGGGUCUUGUACACACGC
rnacentral:rRNA from 1 species